GUCUAGACUAACCUCUUUCAGUGGUUAACGCGUGAGACUUGAAAUCUCAUUCCUUCGGGAGCGCAGGUUCAAACCCUGCUCUGGUCG